UUUUCAGCCUGCAUGGAUUCACCUGCCAGUCGGACCCCACGGGGUCCUUGCUUUUCUGUGAUGGGGCACUGGUUUCUGAGCCUGCUUGGAGCCACUUGUCUUCAGCGAUUUUGCUGCUCCCGGCAAUUCCUUCAAACUAGAUUCCUUACUUAAUGGUGCCCUGGACAUUCUCUUCCAUUCAUAAACCUGAGGCUUCUCAAGGGUGCGAGUUGCUUCCUCUUAUUGGAGUGGGAGGCUCUGAGGUAGGGAUCCUGUCUCCUUCUUCAUCUUGGACUGUCC